ACACCUACUAUAAAUAAUAAUAACCCUAGGUAGCUUUUCCAAUUAUCUCAGUAUCUCACCUCAGCCGUCUCCCUCUUCUCUCUCUCACUCCUUUCUUGUCUCACCAGUCGCCCCUCUCUCACCCGCGUCACUCUCAUCCUCUUCUCUCUCACGUCUCAGGCUCUCAGCCCUCUCUCUCUCUCGUCUUAGCCCUCUCUCACCCUCUUCUCUCUCACCAUUUGCAUACCAAAUUCAAGCCGUCAACAUGAGGUCCACUGCGUCAUCAGAUCCAUCCACCACGUCAUAGCAGCUGUGCUUCUAUCUCUCUGUCUCUCUCACAGUCUUCAACCCUUGCAUAUCUUCUCUAUUUGGGUUUGUAUAUAUAUAUUAUUCAAAUUAUGGCUUAUGAUUUUUGAAUUAUGUGUUGCAGGGAAUCAUAGCAGAUCUGGAUCUGGAGGGGUUGAGAUGAAGUGGGAAAUUUGUUUUGUAAAUCUUGUAAAUGAUAUGUUGUUUGUAAUCUUGUAAUCUGUAAAUCUGGGCUAUUGCUUGACCAAGAAUCUCACCUUCUUACGAUCAAUCUAUAAAAAGUAUAUAAAAGAAAAGAUAAAGCUCAGAAAAUUUGGUAGUUAUUUGUUAAUUUUUUGCUAUAUGAGAAAUAGGGGUUGAAAUUGGGUUAAUCAGUAUAAAAAUUAUAAGUUAGUAAAGGCAAAUAAAAACAGACAUUUGAGAAAAAGGAAAAAAAAAAGCCCAUUAAAAUAACCCGAACCGACAUGGGCCGACUCGAAAAUUCGGCCCAACCGAAUAUUCGGCCCAAUCAUUUUUUAGUCGGUUGUCGGUUUGGGCUUUGGGCCUAACCGACUGUUUCGGGUCGGAAUCGGUUUGGGCCUGAAACCGACCCGCCCCGACAUAUGCCCACCCCUACCGUUAAUUGAAACCGUCAGUAUCUGACGUGGCAUGCCAAACUCAACAGUAGUGGGUCCCACUUGGAAGGGAAAUUUCCAAAAUUGUCUUUGGCUCGUAUUUGACCCAGAUUACUACCAAAAACCCUAUUACGCGUCCCAUUUCCCGACCUUCCUCCUAAAACUAUACCAAAUCCAAAAAAAAAUAGAGAAAGCAAGAAUCCUCACUCUCUUGCUUUGAAACUGAAAAAAUGGAGAAGGCUGAUUGAAGGCGCGAAGAAACGAAUGCGUGUGGCUUGAUUUGAAGAAGAUUUCGAAAUGGCCGGCAAUGAGAUCGACGUUUGGAUACCCAGAAAAACAAAUGGUGGAGAUGAAAUUCCUCAUUACGGUGAGUUUGGUGUUUAGAGUUUUGGAUUUCUGUUUAAAAUCUUCUAAAUCGGAUUUGGGGUUUUGAAAUUUCGAAAUUGGGGAAAAAGGGAUGUGUUGGGUUUCAAAUCUUCGAUAUUGGGAUUAAAGGGUUUUGGUGUAGGGUUUGUUUGAGGUUUAGUGUUUGAAAUUUAUGAUUCAAAAUUUUGAUCUGGGAAAAAAAAAAAAGGUUUGGGUUUAGGGUUUCAUAUCUUCUGGGGUUAGGAAGUGGGUUUAUGUUUUCUGGGUUUCAUAUCUUCUGGGAUUAGGACCUGGGUCCAUGUUUGCUAUAUUCUUCACUCUCUACUCUAUUCUAGGGAAGCAACCCAGUGACGCUGGUUUAUGCACCACGCUCUGUUGCUGUGAAAGAAGCACCAACUGAAACAAAUGGCUUCGAUUUCGAUAGACUGCUGCCAACUGCGGCUUGGGUGAGAUGGGCAUAGCAGCCUUCUGAAGUUCAGCUUUUGUCUGUAAACAGUUUGAAUUAUGUGGUGUUCAUGGGAAGAUGUUCGUGAUGGAGGGACUAGUCGUGUUGAUGUGAUACCCCGGACCUAAAACAGUGGGGUUUUAUUUUUAAUGAAAAAGAUGGCUGAAUUGAAGGCAUUAAGGAAACAAGAAGCCAAAGCUACUGUUGCCACAACUGCACCAAAAUCCAAAGCUGCUGCCACAUUUACCUCGACAAGCACAAGGCCUCCGGCCUCAACUAAAGCAUCAAAGGGCCAAAUUCCAGUAGCUUCCAGAUCAUCUCAGAGGAUCAGGGACAAUGCCAAACAAGGGAGAAAAUAGGAAAGAGGAACUAGAAUGUCACAUUAGCAAGCCCUACCAUUUUUUUUCCAACAAUGUUUUGUGUAACUCGGUUGGUAGCUCUAAUGCCAUUUUUGUUAAUAUGAUUAGAGCUAUUUGAAAUGCAAACUUUUCUAAUGUUGCAAACACAUUUGGGCUGCCAAGUCUUUUGGAAUUUAAGAAAUUUUCAUGUUUUGUAUGAA